rnacentral:rRNA from 1 species
GUAGUCCACGCCGUAAACGAUGUCGACUUGGAGGUUGUGCCCUUGAGGCGUGGCUUCCGGAGCUAACGCGUUAAGUCGACCGCCUGGGGAGUACGGCCGCAAGGUUAAAACUCAAAUGAAUUGACGGGGGCCCGCACAAGCGGUGGAGCAUGUGGUUUAAUUCGAUGCAACGCGAAGAACCUUACCUGGUCUUGACAUCCACAGAACUUUCCAGAGAUGGAUUGGUGCCUUCGGGAACUGUGAGACAGGUGCUGCAUGGCUGUCGUCAGCUCGUGUUGUGAAAUGUUGGGUUAAGUCCCGCAACGAGCGCAACCCUUAUCCUUUGUUGCCAGCGGUUAGGCCGGGAACUC